GAGCCCGUUGCUCAAUGGUAGAGCGUUCGACUAAAAAACCAAAGGUCACGGGUUCG
rnacentral:tRNA from 1 species